GUACGCGCGCGAGCCCCAGAGGCUGCGGCAGCAGCAGAGCAGCAGCCCCUGCCUGGCGCGACGUGCUUCCAGUGCAUUCUGAGUCACUCCUCUCCUGGCAAGGGGCACAUUCCUGCUGACGACUUGUCUCCCAUGGAGGAGCAACAGGCUCUGCUUUCCCUGGCCUGAGAACCCUGGCGUAUGUGCUUGCCUCUGCUGGGAGAACAGUUGCCAGAGCGAUGGCAAGUGUUGCCCAGGUAACGUCCCUUCCUUGACAAGCAGAGAGGGUGAGGACAGCGCUGGAGUGGCUGACUGUGCCACACAGGAAGCAGGAGGCUCUGCCUGCUGUCUCUGCUUGCCGCUGGCUGGUGGGGCUUGGGCUCGGAUGUGGGGAGCCCUGCUGAGUUCUACCUCCCUGGACUACUCCUUUACAGAACUUGAAAAAGAUUUACAAAUAUAAGAAAGUGCUGAGUAACCCAAGCCGCUGGGAAGUUGUCUUGAAAGAGAUCCGGACCCUGGUGGACAUGG
rnacentral:sRNA from 1 species